AACGACUCUCGACAACGGAUAUCUCGGCUCUCGCAUCGAUGAAGAACGUAGCGAAAUGCGAUACUUGGUGUGAAUUGCAGAAUCCCGUGAACCAUCGAGUCUUUGAACGCAAGUUGCGCCCAAAGCCUUUAGGCCGAGGGCACGUCUGCCUGGGUGUCACGC
rnacentral:rRNA from 1 species